AGAUUGAACGCUGGCGGCAUGCCUAACACAUGCAAGUCGAACGGGAGUAGCAAUACUCUAGUGGCGGACGGGUGAGGAAUACGUAGGAAUUUGCCCUUAAGUGGGGGAUAACCCGGGGAAACCCGGAUUAAUACCGCAUGACCUCGAAAGAGCAAAGUGGGGGAUCGCAAGACCUCACGCUUUUGGAGAAGCCUACGUCGGAUUAGCUAGUUGGUGAGGUAAUGGCUCACCAAGGCGACGAUCCGUAACUGGUCUGAGAGGAUGAUCAGUCACACCGGAACUGAGACACGGUCCGGACUCCUACGGGAGGCAGCAGUGGGGAAUAGUGGACAAGUGGGCGCGAAGCCUAGAUCCGAGCAAUGCCGAGUGUAGUGAAGAAGGCCGUUA
rnacentral:rRNA from 1 species